rnacentral:lncRNA from 1 species
CAGGCGAGAAGUUUUAGGAUAAAUAGUAAGUUCAUUGCAAAGAACCAAAAAAAAUGGGGAGCCGAAUCUCUAGUCUAGGAAAAUAUACAUGGGAGCAUUAAAAAAUGACAAUAAGAGUUAAUAUCUAAACUAUAACUUACCAAUAAACUCUAAAGAUCCCUGAAAAUGUACAACAAGAUAAACUGCAUACCACUAAAACAAAUCUACAAGAUCCACACUUGAUACUAGAUGCAUAUCUAAACCCUAAAAAAUCCACAAUUCUUAUCAAGCCAUGCACCCAGAGGCACAUUUGAACUAUCAUCCACACAAGAAAAUCAAACCUCUUCCUUCAAUUCUCAUCCGAUUUGAAUACAAGUCCAUCCACGUUUGUAUGACCCAACAAAUAUCCAAAAUAGAAAGAAAAUGAAGAAGAAAAAGAAGCAUAGACCUUCAACACAAUUGGAUUGAGAAGAGGACGAGAAAUGAUGUACAAAAUCAAUGGUUUCCCCAUCCUAUUUCAAAUAUAACGCAGAGUAAUCACAAAUUGCUUACUCUUUACUAAAAUGAAACUCUAAAAUAGUUCUAAUAAAAAAUUGUAGUUCCACUCUUACUUAAAGAUAUGAAUAAAGAAUUGAACUCAAACUAGGUUGCUCCUGAAGGUUUUCAACUAAAACUUUCCUCUGACUCAAAGUCAUUCCUUCCCCUCUGUGAAACUUCAGUUUAAUGCUUUCAAUUAGAUCUUCAUACUCCAAAGGGUAGCUGCUAUACAGAAUUAGAUCAAUUAAAUAUUUGCCAAUAUCUCACUACUCCCACAUCCAUAUAGGCCCAACUGUGCACAACACUACAACAUUUCACUCACUAUGCUCAUAAACCAUCAACAAAACCUCAAAGUAACAGUAGGUUCUUUUAUACAAAAUGGUUGACCUAGACAUCACUGUCAUGAUUUUUGCCAGUGAACUGCCAAAGAUACCAGAAAUUACCUUAUUCAAUAAUGACACAUAUUCAAACAAACCAGUCACAAGGAUAGGAGAUGGAGGAAAUAUGAAACUUGACAGCACUACAACAUUUCACCCACUAUGUUAAAAAAAUCCUGCCUUUUCAUGCCUAUACACUAAUUAUUAAUUUGAUGUCUAUUGAUUCACAUAUAUUUCUCUAUCAAAAUCUAAAUCACCUGAUGAAGGUUUCCUCUAAAGAUCCCUGAAAAUGUAGAGCAAGAUAAACUACAUACCACUAAAACAGACCUAUAAAAUCCACACUUGAUACUAGAUGCUUAUCUAAACCCUCAAAAAUCCACAAUUCUUAUCAAGCCAUGCACCCAGAGGCACAUUUGAACUAUCAUCCACACAAGAAAAUCAAACCUCUUCCUUCAAUUCUCAUCCGAUUUGAAUACAAGUCCAUCCACGUUUGUAUGACCCAACAAAUAUCCAAAAUAGAAAGAAAAUGAAGAAGAAAAAGAAGCAUAGACCUUCAACACAAUUGGAUUGAGAAGAGGACGAGAAAUGAUGUACAAAAUCAAUGGUUUCCCCAUCCUGUUUCAAAUAUAAC